AGAAACAUAACCCCACACACUUGGGACUGAGCUGUUACCACAUCUGUGUUUGGGUCUACCAUAUGUAAUCCAUUGCACUGACGGUCCCUGGCUACGGACAGACAAAACAUUAAGUCAUGUGCACGGUAUGAUUUGAUAUGAUUUGAGGUCAUGUUGUUUUGGUUUGUGAUUGGUAUAAGACAGGAAUAAGCUAGUCCCCCAACCCCACUGCCCCCCAUGAGACUACCCAGGAUGCAUCACUCUCUACCCAUGAUGCUUCGUUAGUAGCCUGUCUGUCCAGUCGGAGUGAAAGGCCAGAGCUCCUCCCUGCAGAGAAACACAUCAUCUCACCUGGAGAUAUAUUCACUUGUCAGCAGUCACAGUACAGGAAUAGUGUUUCUGAUAAUAUAUCUGUCUACAUGGAACGCAAGUUCAAGUACAAGUUUUAUCGCCCCCAUAGGUUUAGUUUGCAGACAGGAUGAACAUACAACACAGCAGUGUUGUAGUACUCAUGACUGGUCUUGGGUCAGGUCUCGAGACUACAUAUUGAGUGUCUCGGUCUUGUCUCCGUGUCGGAUACAUUUGGGCUCGGUCUUGACUCGGUCUCGGACAGUGAGGACUCGUCAUUUCUUCCCGAGACCAGCUGAGACCAGCGGAUUAAAACUUAUCAGCUUCCAUUCAGUCAGCGCAUAAAAACACUUCGCCAGGCCAAAUAUACAGAAUAUACUCCUUUUUUGAGACGUUAAUACAUUAUCUGAACAGUCUUUAAAUCUAUUAUAGACAUGUUUGCUCAGUGGUGACCCUAUAGGACCUUCAGUGUGUGACAGGUUAGUACAGUGAACCUAUAUGUCUUCAAUGUGUGACAGGUUAGUACAGUGGUGAACCUAUAGGUCUUCAGUGUGUGACAGGUUAGUACAGUGGUGAACCUAUAGGUCUUCAGUGUGUGACAGGUUAGUACAGUGGUGAACCUAUAGGUCUUCAGUGUGUGACAGGUUAGUACAGGGGUGAACCUAUAGGUCUUCAGUAUGUGACAGGUUAGUACAGUGGUGAACCUAUAGGUCUUCAGUGUGUGACAGGUUAGUACAGGGGUGAACCUAUAGGUCUUCAGUAUGUGACAGGUUAGUAUAGUGGUGAACCUAUAGGUCUUCAGUAUGUGACAGGUUAGUACAGUGGUGAACCUAUAGGUCUUCAGUAUGUGACAGGUUAGUAUAGUGGUGAACCUAUAGACCUUCAGUGUAACAGGUUAGUACAGUGGUGAACCUAUAGGUCUUCAGUGUGACAGGUUAGUACAGUGGUGAACCUAUAGGUCUUCAGUGUGUGACAGGUUAGUACAGUGGUGAACCUAUAGUCCUUCAGUG